rnacentral:tRNA from 1 species
GCCAAGAUAGCUCAGCUGGCUAGAGCAGCGCAUUCGUAACGCGCAGGUCAUGGGUUCGAACCCCAUUCUUGGCU